CCAGCCAAGUAGCGUGCAGGAAGACGGCCCUAUGGGUUGUAAACUGCUUUUAUGCGGGGAUAAAGUGAGUCACGUGUGGCUUAUUGCAGGUACCGCAUGAAUAAGAACCGGCUAAUUCCGUGCCAGCAGCCGCGGUAAUACGGAAGGUCCGGGCGUUAUCCGGGUUUAUUGGGUUUAAAGGGAGCGUAGGCCGUCUGGUAAGCGUGUUGUGAAAUGUCGGGGCUCAACCUGGGCAUUGCAGCGCGAACUGUCAGACUUGAGUGCGCGGGAAGUAGGCGGAAUUCGUCGUGUAGCGGUGAAAUGCUUAGAUAUGACGAAGAACUCCGAUUGCGAAGGCAGCCUGCUGUAGCGCAACUGACGCUGAAGCUCGAAAGCGUGGGUAUCGAACAGGAUUAGAUACCCUGGUAGUCCACGCGGUAAACGAUGGAUGCUCGCUGUUUGCGUCUGACGUAAGCGGCCAAGCGAAAGCGUUAAGCAUCCCACCUGGGGAGUACGCCGGCAACGGUGCAACUCAAAUGAAUUGACGGA
rnacentral:rRNA from 1 species